GACGAACGCUGGCGGCGUGCUUAACACAUGCAAGUCGAACGGAAAGGCCCUGCUUUUGUGGGGUGCUCGAGUGGCGAACGGGUGAGUAACACGUGAGUAACCUGCCCUUGACUUUGGGAUAACUUCAGGAAACUGGGGCUAAUACCGGAUAGGAGCUCCUGCUGCAUGGUGGGGGUUGGAAUGUUUCGGCGGUUGGGGAUGGACUCGCGGCUUAUCAGCUUGUUGGUGGGGUAGUGGCUUACCAAGGCUUUGACGGGUAGCCGGCCUGGGAGGGUGACCGGCCACAUUGGGACUGAGAUACGGCCCAGACUCCUACGGGAGGCAGCAGUGGGGAAUAUUGCACAAUGGGCGGAAGCCUGAUGCAGCAACGCCGCGUGCGGGAUGAAGGCCUUCGGGUUGUAAACCGCUUUCGCCUGUGACGAAGCGUGAGUGACGGUAAUGGGUAAAGAAGCACCGGCUAACUACGUG
rnacentral:rRNA from 1 species